UACGUAGGGGGCUAGCGUUGUCCGGAAUCAUUGGGCGUAAAGCGCGUGUAGGCGGCCAGGUAGGUCCGCUGUGAAAACCCGAGGCUCAACCUCGGGACGUCGGCGGAAACCAUCUGGCUAGAGUCCGGAAGAGGAGAGUGGAAUUCCCGGUGUAGCGGUGAAAUGCGUAGAUAUCUGGAAGAACACCAGUGGCGAAGGCGGUCAACUGGCUCUUAACUGACGCUCAUGCACGAAAGCGUGGGUAGCGAACAGG
rnacentral:rRNA from 1 species